UACAGAGGUCUCAAGCGUUCUUCGGAUUCAUUGGGCGUAAAGGGUGCGUAGGUUGCGCGGUAAGUCGGGUGUGAAAUUUCGGAGCUUAACUCCGAAACUGCAUUCGAUACUGCCGUGCUUGAGGACUGGAGAGGAGACUGGAAUUUACGGUGUAGCAGUGAAAUGCGUAGAUAUCGUAAGGAAGACCAGUGGCGAAGGCGGGUCUCUGGACAGUUCCUGACACUGAGGCACGAAGGCCAGGGGAGCAAACGGG
rnacentral:rRNA from 1 species